AUGGGAUUUCAGUUCAAAUGAGGGGUGUGAGAUAUUACUUUUGAGAGCGUCCUCUGUAGAUCCCAGGCUCGACGUAUUUAGUGAUCGAUCUUGUGAGAAGUGACCAAUCUUCCACUUUGCAGAAGCUAUUGGGCGCUGAGAAAGUCGUAGGAGGAAUGGUCCUGACCCCUCGCGUGGCAAUUAAAAAGGAUUUAACUACCCAACCAUGUUAAUGCGAGUAAUAUAUCCAUGAAAGUAUUACUGUUAACUAGUUCUUAGCUACUCAGUGUUUAGGAUAUACAGUGAGCAAAUCUAAAUGGAUGUAAUGGCAUGUAAAGUAUAGACUAGCCUCGA
rnacentral:sRNA from 1 species